GAUCCCCUGCCACCACAGAGCUUCUCAAUAGGGGCUCAUCAGGGCCUAAGGGCAAGCGAGGGCAGUGCCUCACAGGAUGAGGGGGGGACGCAGGCCCAGCUAAGGGAGGAAAGCUGAAGUAGAUUCAUCGGAACCCUUCUAACUUCUGCUCCCUCUCCCCGCUCUAAAACGCUUCAGACCACACCCCGGAGCCUGCUUUGCAGUCUCAGGAAAUCAGCCUGUGUUGAUCUUCAGCAGCAUUACAAACAAGAGAAUUUUAAAAAAUGAGCAAGACAAUACAAAUCACUGAAAAGAAAUCGAACAGGAAUUACCAGACUCUCAUGCAUGCACAGGAACCCCAAGAUAGCAGCUCCUCCUGUGACCACAAUGCGGCCCAGCGCCUCAACAGAGGCUCAGAAUAUGAAGCACUUUUCUCCCUCCUCAUCUGGGAUCCAAUCCAGGAGCCUGUCUUGCAUUUGGUUUUCAUGUCUUUUUAAUCUGGAACAAUCCCUUACCUGUCUUUGCCUUUGGGGACAUUCACACCUUUGAAGAAUAUGGACCACUAGGUUUGUAGGAUUUCUCUCAAUUUGGCUUUGCCCAGUGUCUGUCUGUGGUUAGAGUCAGAGAAUUGUGGGUAGGACUCAUGGCUUGUGAGGCUAAGUCCUUCCCAGUGCGGCACAUCAGGAGGCACUGGAGGUCAGUAUGCCCCAUUCAUUGAUGCUAACUUUGAUCACCUGUCUAUGGGGCUGGUGAGGUUUCUGCAGUGUGAACUUGUCACCUCCUCCUCCUCCUUCAUAAUUAGUGCUGUGGGGAGAUUUGAGACUCAAGUAUAUGCCUCCUCAAACCCUCACCGAACAGUUUGGCAUUUCUUGAUGAUUCUUGCUGAGCUCAGUUGUCUCUAUGAUGUCAGCAAAAAGUGCCAAUCACUAACUCAUGUCUUCUAAUUUACUGUGUUCAUGCUCCAUCUUAUUUUUAUAAACGAAUGAAAAUGCAGUUUCAAAAUUUGUAUGCUGGAACAGGUGGUAUAGCUCUGUGAUACAGCGUAUGUUUAGUACAUGCAAAGCUCUGAGUUCAUUCCUCAGCACACAAAGAAAACCCUGCAAAAAUUCUAUGCCAAUGAUAAUAAAAGUAGAAUUAGCCUAUGUGUGUAGGCCUUUGGGCUUGCUCUGCUUGACCCAUCUCAACAUUAUAGAAUUACGAUGCUACAAAGACUGUCCCAGACUCUUUUGAAAUGUUGCUGAUACAGGCUUUUGCUGUCAUUUCAAGCUCUUCUUUUCCUAUCUUUUUUUACUGAACCCAGGACCUCUUGCAUGACAGGCAAGUGAUCUACCACUGAGCUAGAUCCCAAGCCCCAUUUUAAUCUUUAAGACUAAGAUUAAAGUUUGUUUGCAAUCAACAUCCUCACAUGUUAUGGCUGUGGUUUUUGAAAAAGAAUUCAGAUGUGUGUGCAUGUGUAAAUCACAUUCACAUUCAGUUCCAACUAGAUCUUUAACAUUAAUCCUAAUCGGUCACACAUACUAUGCAGAUUCCUUGGUCUGGCAGAGAAAUUGCUUGUCAUUACUUCUGGGAGGCUACCACCAAGGCCUGAAAUGAUGGGGACCUGUGGAGCCAGAUCCUUCUCAGGUUCCUGCUGUCUUAGGUAAUAGAUGUUUGCUAUCACCUUUAUGAAGGUGAGCUAACUACCGCUGGAAUAAUAGGUGGGGCCUUCAACAAGGUCGCUUCUGCAAUUGCACCACAGAAAGAAGGCUUCUGCCUCAUCUCUCAGAAUCGAGAAGCGGCUUCAGAAUUGUUUGACUUCAGUCAAGUGGCUGCGUUUCAGCAAGCAUUAAGCAAACAUCACCUGUUCUGCUAGCCAAACAUGCCUUCCUAGCACUAGUGCAAGAGAGGAAUAAAAAGGUGGAGAACCUCAAGGAUGUCUGGCCCUCUUCCAUUUUCUACCUGGAAAAAAUGUCUUCAUCUUAAUACUGCUGUUUGCUUAUAACAAUUGUGCCUUAUAUUAUUUGCAUCUUGGGGCCAGUGCUAACAUAGCCAUGUAACAUAGCCAUUUGAACAAUGACUCACCCCUCAAGUCCUUUGAAAGACACCCUGACCAUGAAUUUGUUAUGAAAACCAGGAGAAAAAUUCUUCUGUUUCAAUUGGACUUGUCCUUAAAAAAAGGCAGUCUCUGAUGUGUAAUGAUAAAUGAUUAAAAAACCUUUAUUUUGUUGCGUGGGGGGGGUGCUGGAGUUUGAAGCCGAGGACUCCUGUAUAGAAGGUAAAUGCUCUACCACUGAGCUACACUCUAAGUCCUGAUCUCUUAAAAAUGUUUUUAACUAGGGGGAAAAAAAUAUUUGAGCCCCAAAUAUGGUUCUAAAACCAAGGGAAAACAUUGCUUGCUUUUAUCAGUCAUUUCAGAGGUGAGAUGACUGAGCAAUUUACCUUCAUUAGCUUUGCUAUUAGUAACACCUCUGAUGUAUGGUCACUAUGGUAACAGAUGUUCAAGCUGGUUGUCAGGAAGUGGGAGGCUGCUUUUGUUUCUCUCAAACCAGCUGAAUUCAGCCACACUUUCUACUUUGCAUGGGCCUGCUCAGGUACAAUGAUGACCUUUCAAUAGUGAAGAGCCAAGAACUGCAUCUUCAGAUCACACUAACGCUGCCAUUUUCUAAACUUGUGACCUGCUUAGAAUCAUGACAUUCACCUGUGACUAUACAGAUCUUCCUGUCGCCAGUCACCUUCUCCUCUGCCUCAGACUCCUAAACGUUAUCUUCAGAGAGGUAGUUUUGAAAUUGGGGACAGGGCCCUCCCUCUUUAUGAUUUGUGGCUCAAGAACAAAAUCUUUCUCUUGUGUAAAACUCAUGUCAGUGCUUGGUAUACAGAGCAAAAUGGGUCUUAUUCGGUAUAGUUCAAGUAUCAAAACAAAAUGAAAAAUAUAUUCUCUGACUUCCCUUGCUCUCUUUGGGUAAUAUUUUUGUUAGUUUCUUCUUUA